rfam:Myotis davidii contig43384, whole genome shotgun sequence.
GAGAUACCCUUAUGGGGCAAGACUUGCUUCAGUGGGGCUUUGGUGCUCACCGAGUCUGCCCCCUGAGUGUGUCCCU